GGCGACCAAACCAAAGUACCAAACCUCUGAGGAUCUGAGACGGCAAACAGAGAAUGGAUGCCUGAAGCACAGGAGGUUGGGCGUGUUCACAGCCUGCAAGACAAGGAGUAGGGAGGUAAGACACCCGGAUCUGGAGAGGUCAGUUUGUUCAUUGCUCUGCAGGUUUCACAUCAUCGUACUUCCAGCCGAUCAGAAGCCAGGAGGAUGCUGGAAGUAAAAGGUACCACGUUGAGUUUUUUGCAGAGCAGGUCAAAGUAUAAAGCUUCCAAAUGAAAUAAUUACUGAAUAAAUAUUUACUUGGGUUUAACUGGAGCUUUCCCCUGUAAUUAAGACUUAACACUUCACUUUAAAUCCCCCAUUUAACGUUUCUAACCGACUCUGAUGCAGCUGUGAGCAGAUCCAAGAACACGUCUCAAUUUUUAGCGUCUGUUCCACAUAUUUUCUAUUAUUCCAUCCCGUGGUUCAUCACUAGUUCAUCCAGCAGCCGACGCUGAUAAACACUGGGAUCUGGUCACAGCUGCAUCAGAGUCUGUCAGAAACCGGUUAUCACGUCUUGAUCUCCAUGAUAAAUGUUACUGACUUAAAAAGGUUUUCUUGUAAAAAUGUAGUUCAUCACACCAAGACCUUACUGCACAGCGCCCCCUGGUGGUCAGACCUUUGACAGUUUUUCUUCUGCAUCACUGGUCAUCAACGCUUUUACAGCUCAAACGCAUUUAACUCUACAAACCUGUAAAAACUAAUGAAACCAAAACUUAGGUUUUUUAAUUUCCUACAAUUUUACAAUAUUUUUCUAAAAAGAACUAACUUAUUACUGAUUCUACUGGAAGAUGGCAAUUUAAAUUUAAAUGAGGUCAAUAAAAAGAAAUUUCUUAAUUUCUAAAAUAGAGAUUUGUCACGAGCAUAUUUCAGAAACUUGCCCAUAAACAAAACCUUCACGCAGGCGUUAGAGGUGAUGCUACAGACCGGGGCUGUCGCUUUUUCCUGCAACUGCAUUUUUUAAAAAUGAAAAACAUCUGUUCUAUUCUUGGUGUUUCCGUCCAGGGUUUAGGUUAAUCACAUUGAUUUUUAUUGAGCUUUUCCUCAAGGACAAAGUGAAGCUCUGGGUUUUUGACACAAUGAGCUGAAAACCAUCGUUAUAUCCUGCUCAAGGUCUCAGUGAUGUUCGUGUUGUGUGACUCACCUCUGGAGGAGGCUCGUCAUUAUGUCUUGCUGGCGUUCUCGUAGAUGACAUCAGAGGUGAUGGACUGCUGCUUCUUCUUCUGCCACAUCAACAGGACACACUGAUGGAUGAACACGUACUGCUCCUGCAGAGAGGAAAUCACAGCCUGAAACUGACCUGAAAACGAUCUGGCCCUAAAGCCGUUUCUCUGGAGUCCUCACCUCAGUCUGGACCAUGGACAGGCGGUGCGAUCGCAUUUCAGACACCAUGCCCAGGAUAUCGGCGAACUCGUGUUCUCUGAU